GUACCUAUAGAGCAGUCGUUAGCUCAUUCCAUUGUGGUCGACUUGGAUAGCUCUGGAAAGACCUGGGUUCAAAUCCCAGUGGGUACA